rnacentral:rRNA from 1 species
GAUGGACGCUGGCGGCGUGCCUAAUACAUGCAAGUCGAGCGAACAGAUGAGGAGCUUGCUCCUCUGACGUUAGCGGCGGACGGGUGAGUAACACGUGGAUAACCUACCUAUAAGACUGGGAUAACUUCGGGAAACCGGAGCUAAUACCGGAUAAUAUAUUGAACCGCAUGGUUCAAUAGUGAAAGACGGUUUUGCUGUCACUUAUAGAUGGAUCCGCGCCGCAUUAGCUAGUUGGUAAGGUAACGGCUUACCAAGGCAACGAUGCGUAGCCGACCUGAGAGGGUGUUCGCCACACUGGGACCUGAGCCCCGGCCCGGCCACCGACGGGGGGCGGAAGUGGGGAUUCUUCGGCAAGGGGGGAAGGCUGGACGGACCACCGCCGCGUGAGUAAGAAGGGUCUGGGGAUCUUAAAACUUUUUUAUGGGGAAAAAAAAAAUGGGAAAGAAACUAGGCACGUCUGGACGGUACCUAAUAAAAAAGCCCCGGCUAACUACGUC